rnacentral:rRNA from 1 species
GAGCGGUAGAGAGAAGCUUGCUUCUCUUGAGAGCGGCGGACGGGUGAGUAAUGCCUAGGAAUCUGCCUGGUAGUGGGGGAUAACGUUCGGAAACGGACGCUAAUACCGCAUACGUCCUACGGGAGAAAGCAGGGGACCUUUGGGCCUUGCGCUAUCAGAUGAGCCUAGGUCGGAUUAGCUAGUUGGUGGGGUAAUGGCUCACCAAGGCGACGAUCCGUAACUGGUCUGAGAGGAUGAUCAGUCACACUGGAACUGAGACACGGUCCAGACUCCUACGGGAGGCAGCAGUGGGGAAUAUUGGACAAUGGGCGAAAGCCUGAUCCAGCCAUGCCGCGUGUGUGAAGAAGGUCUUCGGAUUGUAAAGCACUUUAAGUUGGGAGGAAGGGUUGUAGAUUAAUACUCUGCAAUUUUGACGUUACCGACAGAAUAAGCACCGGCUAACUCUGUG